rnacentral:tRNA from 1 species
AGUGGUAAAAUUAGCCUUCCAAGCU